UACGUAGGGUCCGAGCGUUGUCCGGAGUUACUGGGCGUAAAGAGCGCGCAGGCGGUCGUUCAAGUCGCGUGUGAAAGCCCCCGGCUCAACUGGGGAGGGUCACGCGAUACUGAUCGACUCGAAGGCAGGAGAGGGUAGUGGAAUUCCCGGUGUAGUGGUGAAAUGCGUAGAUAUCGGGAGGAACACCAGUGGCGAAGGCGACUACCUGGACAAGUACUGACACUCAACUACGAAAGCGUGGGGAGCAAACAGG
rnacentral:rRNA from 1 species